rnacentral:lncRNA from 1 species
AUUCCUAAUAUAAUGUAUAUUCUUCAAGGUAACAAAAUAUGAAAAUGUGCAUAUCUUCAAUGUACAUUAAAAAUGCCCGGUGACCCAUACGUUUGAUUAUAAUUUUGAAAAUAAAUUGCACGAAAUAAACUUUAAUGUUACACUUUAGGCAGUCUGAACAAAUGUUUCGUUUGAUAUUUUGACUAAUAACCAUCUACAAUGUAUUUUUCUUUUUUUUUUCAGUUCCAGAAUCAAAUAAAAAGAUUAAUCAAGAGAUUUUUGUUUGACGGCAAUCUUGUUGAUUUGCGGAUAUUUAAUUAAUCAAUUAUUCUUCGGAGGGAUGGAUUGGUAAAUUUGAAUAUCAUACAACUUGUUAUUACAUCAAAUGUAUAAUUUGUUCUACAACUCUAUCAUACUACAUCAUUGUUGAAUAUUAUU